UGUUAACCUAGCUCUCUGUUCUAUAUCAGGUUAACUCUGCUGUUAACCUAGCUCUCUGUUCUGUUCUAUAUCAGGUUAACUCUGCUGUUAACCUAGCUCUCUGUUCUGUUCUAUAUCAGGUUAACUCUGCUGUUAACCUAGCUCUCUGUUCUGUUCUAUAUCAGGUUAACUCUGCUGUUAACCUAGCUCUCUGUUCUAUAUCAGGUUAACUCUGCUAGUAACCUUGCUCUCUGUUCUGCUGUUAACCUUGCUCUCUGUUCUGUUCUAUAUCAGGUUAACUCUGCUGUUAACCUUGUGUGACAGUGUGUGUGUGUGUGUGUGUGUGUGUGUGUGUGUGUGUGUGUGUGUGUGUGU